rnacentral:rRNA from 1 species
GUAGUCCACGCCGUAAACGAUGGCCACUAGAUGUGGGGGGUAUCGACCCCCUCCGCGUCGAAGCUAACGCGAUAAGUGGCCCGCCUGGGGAGUACGGCCGCAAGGCUAAAACUCAAAGGAAUUGACGGGGCCCGCACAAGCAGCGGAGCGUGUGGUUUAAUUCGAUGCGACGCGAAGAACCUUACCUGGGCUUGAACUUGUCGUGACCGCCGGUGAAAGCCGGUUUCCCUUCGGGGGCACGGUGAGAGGUGCUGCACGGCUGUCGUCAGCUCGUGCCGUGAGGUGUUGGGUUAAG